AUGGCGGCAAACGCGGCGCCUUCGGAGACGGCGCCGCUCCCGCUGGACGGCCGCGUCGCGCUCGUCACGGGCGGCUCCCGCGGCAUCGGCCGGGAGGUGUCCUCCCACCUGGCCGCCCUCGGCGCGCGCGUCCUGAUCAACUACGCGUCGGAAUCGGCCAGCGCCGCCGCGCUCGCCGCGGAGCUCAACUCGCGCGGCGGCGGCGGCGGCCUCCGCGCCGUGGCGGCCCAGGCCGACGUGUCCGACCCGGCCGCCGUGCGCGCGCUCUUCGACCGCGCCGAGGAGGCCUUCGGCUCCCCGCCGCACGUCGUGGUCGCCUGCGCCGGGCUGCUCAACCCCAAGUACCCGGCGCUCGCCGACACCACCGUGGAGGACUUCGACGCCAUGUUCGAAUUCAAUUCCUAA
rnacentral:rRNA from 1 species